GCAUCCGUAGCUCAGCUGGAUAGAGCGGCAGCCUCCGAAGCUGUAGGUCAGAGGUUCGAAUCCUCUCGGGUGCACCA
rnacentral:tRNA from 1 species